CAACACGAUCUUUCCUGGUACCCUAGCUUGAGUUCCUCAUUCCCACUGAAUUGUUCUUCAGUGACUCUUCUCCGUUCACUAAGAGCUCUUCAGCUGACUUUUGGAAUCUGUGCAAAGAAAUAUGGGUUAAAUAUGUCACCAGCAAUGCUACCAUUCAAGUAUAUCCCACAGGGGGAAAUUGACUUGCACAGAUCAGUAUCCCUCAAAACACAUACUGUCCCACAGAGAGAUGGAUGUGAGCCCAGGGAAUUGUUGGACCAUUGAAAGGGCCCCAGGAGAGGGGACUGACACCACUCAGAUGUAUGGAAUAAUGGGACCUUCCUAGAGGGAUGAAAUGGUCUUGAUAGAAAGGUAAUACAAAAGAGAGCAAAACAAUAC
rnacentral:lncRNA from 1 species